rnacentral:lncRNA from 1 species
UUUGCAAUUCAUUGGCAUGAAUUAUAAGAAGAUAGUUGUUUGUACUAAAGAUUGCAUUUUAUUUUAAAAUGUGUAUGCAUCAUUAAAUACGUGUCCUACAUAUAUAAAUUGGUAUGUGUUAUAAGAAAGAAAAUAAGAAAAAACUUUAUCCAAAGAGUUAGGUUAUUUUUUGAUAAUGUCAAGAUUUAUGAGCGUGUAUCAGAAUGCAGAAGGUGAAAACACUUAAUGUUAAGGUUACUGAUUGAUUGCUUAAACAACAUACAUAAU